UACGUAGGCGGCAAGCGUUGUCCGGAAUUAUUGGGCGUAAAGAGAGCGCAGGCGGGAAACUAAGCGGAUCUUAAAAGUGCGGGGCUCAACCCCGUGAUGGGGUCCGAACUGGUUUUCUUGAGUGCAGGAGAGGAAAGCGGAAUUCCCAGUGUAGCGGUGAAAUGCGUAGAUAUUGGGAAGAACACCAGUGGCGAAGGCGGCUUUCUGGACUGUAACUGACGCUGAGGCUCGAAAGCUAGGGUAGCGAACGGG
rnacentral:rRNA from 1 species